rnacentral:RNase_P_RNA from 1 species
AGAAGGGUGGACGAUCGCGGGCCGCAAGGCGUGAGGAAAGUCCGGGCUUCACAGGGCAGGAUGCCGGAUAACGUCCGGUAGAGGUGACUCUCAGGAAAGUGCAACAGAAAUGAAACCGCCAGCAUGCUGGUAAGGGUGAAAUGGCAGUGUAAGAGACUACCGCAUGGCUGGUAACAGUCAUGGCAGUGUAAACCCCAUCCGAAGCAAGACCAAAACGAGAUAAUAGGGCUGCCCGCUCUGUCUCAGGUAGGUCGCUUGAGACUGCAAGCAAUUGUAGUUCUAGAAUAAUGAUCGUCUCGGCUUAGGCUAUGACAGAACCCGGCUUACAGCCUUUCUCUU